rnacentral:rRNA from 1 species
UACGGGGGGGGGCAAGCGUUGUUCGGAAUUACUGGGCGUAAAGGGUUCGUAGGUGGCUACCUAAGUCAGACGUGAAAUCCCUCAGCUUAACUGGGGAACUGCGUCUGAUACUGGGUGGCUUGAGUGCAGGAGAGGAAUGCGGAAUUCCAGGUGUAGCGGUGAAAUGCGUAGAUAUCUGGAGGAACACCGGUGGCGAAGGCGGCAUUCUGGGCCAAUACUGACGCUCAUGCACGAAAGCGUGGGGAGCAAACAGG